UUAACACAUGCAAGUCGAACGAUGACGGUGGUGCUUGCACCGCCUGAUUAGUGGCGAACGGGUGAGUAACACGUGAGUAACCUGCCCUCCACUUCGGGAUAACCUCGGGAAAUCGUGGCUAAUACCGGAUAUGAGCACUCAUCGCAUGGUGGGUGUUGGAAAGAUUUAUCGGUGGGGGAUGGACUCGCGGCCUAUCAGUUUGUUGGUGAGGUGAUGGCUCACCAAGACGAUGACGGGUAGCCGGCCUGAGAGGGCGACCGGCCACACUGGGACUGAGACACGGCCCAGACUCCUACGGGAGGCAGCAGUGGGGAAUAUUGCACAAUGGGCGAAAGCCUGAUGCAGCGACGCCGCGUGGGGGAUGACGGCCUUCGGGUUGUAAACCCCUUUCAGUAGGGAAGAAGCGAGAGUGACGGUACCUGCAGAAGAAGCGCCGGCUAACUACGUGCCAGCAGCCGCGGUAAUACGUAGGGCGCAAGCGUUGUCCGGAAUUAUUGGGCGUAAAGAGCUUGUAGGUGGCUUGUCGCGUCUGCCGUGAAAACCCGAGGCUCAACCUCGGGCGUGCGGUGGGUACGGGCAGGCUAGAGUGUGGUAGGGGAGACUGGAACUCCUGGUGUAGCGGUGAAAUGCGCAGAUAUCAGGAAGAACACCGAUGGCGAAGGCAGGUCUCUGGGCCAUUACUGACACUGAGAAGCGAAAGCAUGGGUAGCGAACAGGAUUAGAUACCCUGGUAGUCCAUGCCGUAAACGUUGGGCACUAGGUGUGGGGGACAUUCCACGUUUUCCGCGCCGUAGCUAACG
rnacentral:rRNA from 1 species